UACGUAGGGUGCAAGCGUUGUCCGGAAUUAUUGGGCGUAAAGAGCUCGUAGGCGGUUUGUCGCGUCUGCUGUGAAAACUCGGGGCUUAACCCAGAGCCUGCAUUCAAUACUGACAGGCUAGAGUUCUGGAGGGGAUAGCGGAAUUCCUGGUGUAGCGGUGAAAUGCGUAGAUAUCAGGAGGAACACCGGUGGCGAAGGCGGCUAUCUGGACAGAAACUGACGCUGAGGCGCGAAAGCUAGGGGAGCAAACAGG
rnacentral:rRNA from 1 species